UACGUAGGGCGCAAGCGUUAUCCGGAAUUAUUGGGCGUAAAGAGCUCGUAGGCGGUUUGUCGCGUCUGCCGUGAAAUCCCUCGGCUUAACCGGGGAACUGCGUCUGAUACUGGAUGGCUUGAGUUCGGGAGAGGGAUGCGGAAUUCCAGGUGUAGCGGUGAAAUGCGUAGAUAUCUGGAGGAACACCGGUGGCGAAGGCGGCAUCCUGGACCGACACUGACACUGAGGAGCGAAAGCCAGGGGAGCAAACGGG
rnacentral:rRNA from 1 species